rnacentral:rRNA from 1 species
GAUGAACGCUAGCGGCAGGCCUAACACAUGCAAGUCGAGGGAGAAGCCCUUUCGGGGGCAGAAACCGGCGCACGGGUGCGUAACGCGUAUGCAACCUACCUUUCACAGGGGGAUAGCCCGAAGAAAUUUGGAUUAAUACCCCAUAAUAUUAUUGGAUGGCAUCAUUUGAUAAUUAAAACUGCGGUGGUGAAAGAUGGGCAUGCGUCCUAUUAGCUAGUUGAGUGGUAACGGCACCCCAAGGCUACGAUAGGUAGGGGUCCUGAGAGGGAGAUCCCCCACACUGGUACUGAGACAGGGACCAGACUCCUACGGGAGGCAGCAGUGAGGAAUAUUGGUCAAUGGUCGGAAGACUGAACCAGCCAUGCCGCGUGCAGGAAGAAUGCCUUAUGGGUUGUAAACUGCUUUUAUAUGGGAAGAAUAAGGCGUACGUGUACGUUGAUGACGGUACCAUAUGAAUAAGCAUCGGCUAACUCCGUG